AUACAACCUCCUUGCCAAUUCUACAGUAUAGCUUCGCCUUCUUUGAAUCUUGAGCGCC
rnacentral:sRNA from 1 species